CAGUAGCCGCGGGAAUACAGAGGGUGCGAGCGUUAAUCGGAUUUACUGGGCGUAAAGCGUGCGUAGGCGGCUAAUUGAGUCGGAUGUGAAAUCCCCGAGCUUAACUUGGGAAUUGCAUUCGAUACUGGUUAGCUAGAGUGUGGGAGAGGAUGGUAGAAUUCCAGGUGUAGCGGUGAAAUGCGUAGAGAUCUGGAGGAAUACCGAUGGCGAAGGCAGCCAUCUGGCCUAACACUGACGCUGAGGUGCGAAAGCAUGGGGAGCAAACAGGAUUAGAUACCCCAGUAGUCCCUGUCUCUUAUAC
rnacentral:rRNA from 1 species